rnacentral:rRNA from 1 species
UACGUAGGGCGCAAGCGUUGUCCGGAAUUAUUGGGCGUAAAGAGCUCGUAGGUGGUUUGUCGCGUCUGUCGUGAAAGCCCGGGGCUUAACUCCGGGUCUGCGGUGGAUACGGGCAGACUAGAGGCAGGUAGGGGAGAACGGAAUUCCCGGUGUAGCGGUGGAAUGCGUAGAGAUCCGGAAGAACACCGGUGGCGAAGGCGGUUAGCUGGGCAGUUGCUGACACUGAGGCGCGACAGCGUGGGGAGCAAACAGG